GAUGAACGCUGGCGGCGUGCUUAACACAUGCAAGUCGAACGAUGAAGCCCAGCUUGCUGGGUGGAUUAGUGGCGAACGGGUGAGUAACACGUGAGUAACCUGCCCUUGACUCUGGGAUAAGCCCGGGAAACUGGGUCUAAUACCGGAUAGGAGCGCCUGUCGCAUGACGGGUGCUGGAAAGAUUUUUCGGUCAUGGAUGGACUCGCGGCCUAUCAGCUUGUUGGUGAGGUAAUGGCUCACCAAGGCGACGACGGGUAGCCGGCCUGAGAGGGUGACCGGCCACACUGGGACUGAGACACGGCCCAGACUCCUACGGGAGGCAGCAGUGGGGAAUAUUGCACAAUGGGCGGAAGCCUGAUGCAGCGACGCCGCGUGAGGGAUGACGGCCUUCGGGUUGUAAACCUCUUUCAGCAGGGAAGAAGCGAAAGGACGUACCUCAGAGA
rnacentral:rRNA from 1 species